rnacentral:rRNA from 1 species
UACGAAGGGGGCUAGCGUUGUUCGGAAUUACUGGGCGUAAAGCGCACGUAGGCGGAUACUUAAGUCAGGGGUGAAAUCCCGGGGCUCAACCCCGGAACUGCCUUUGAUACUGGGUAUCUCGAGUCCGGAAGAGGCGAGUGGAACUCCUGGUGUAGCGGUGGGAUGCGCAGAUAUCAGGAAGAACACCAACGGCGAAGGCAGCUCGCUGGGACGGAACUGACGCUGAGGCGCGAAAGCGUGGGGAGCGAACAGG